rnacentral:rRNA from 1 species
UACGUAGGGGGCGAGCGUUGUCCGGAAUUACUGGGCGUAAAGGGUGCGUAGGCGGCCGAUUAAGUUGGAUGUGAAAUACCCGGGCUUAACCUGGGGGGUGCAUCCAAUACUGGUUGGCUAGAGUGCAGGAGAGGGAAGCGGAAUUCCUAGUGUAGCGGUGAAAUGCGUAGAUAUUAGGAGGAACACCAGUGGCGAAGGCGGCUUUCUGGACUGUAACUGACGCUGAUGCACGAAAGCGUGGGGAGCAAACAGGAUUAGAUACCCUGGUAGUCCACGCUGUAAACGAUGAAUACUAGGUGUAGGGGGUACCAACUCCCCCUGUGCCGGAGCUAACGCAAUAAGUAUUCCGCCUGGGGAGUACGGCCGCAAGGUUGAA